GUUUGUGUUCCUGACCCUAUAGUGUUCCCAUAACCUACUGGCUGUCAUCAAGACAUCAGGACGCACGGAUGGAGCCCGCAACCUUUGGUAGCUCUGUGCCGCGUUCCAGUGCCCGAACAUACCGCAGAAGUUCAACAAGGGUCUGAGGACUGGCCACACAAGGACGGAGCCUACGUGUCUUUUAAUUGUAUGCUGCUGCUAAUAAAGGUUUGAAAUACAUCCAGCUGUCCUGCCUAGAGUAUCGUGGUCCUGCAUUCUGAUUUUUACUGGGCGAUUAUAGUGAGA